rnacentral:rRNA from 1 species
AUUGAACGCUGGCGGCAGGCCUAACACAUGCAAGUCGAACGAGUGGCGGACGGGUGAGUAAUGUCUGGGAAACUGCCUGUUGGAGGGGGAUAACUACUGGAAACGGUAGCUAAUACCGCAUACCAUCGGAUGUGCCCAGAUGGGAUUAGCUGGUGGGUGGGGUAACGGCUCACUUAGGCGACGAUCCCUAGCUGGUCUGAGAGGAUGACCGGCCACACUGGAACUGGGACACGGUCCAGACUCCUACGGGGGGCAGCAGUGGGGAAUAUUGCACAAUGGGGGCAAGCCUGAUGCAGCCAUGCCGCGUGUAUGAAGAAGGCCUGCGGGUUGUAAAGUACGUUCAGCGGGGAGGCGUUACCCGCAGAAGAAGCACCGGCUAACUCCGUGCCAGCAGCCGCGGUAAUAC